GCGGCGUGGCGGAGCUGGCUGGGCGCCCCCGGCCAAGGUGCGAGCGAACCGCGGCGGGCUCGGGCGCGGAGCGGGGGCGCGCGGCGCGGAGCAGCCCAGCCCAGCGCAGCCGGGCCCGGAGCCUCGCGGGUAGACACGAGCCGGCGGGCGGCGGCGGCGGCGGGGGUGGUUCUCAGCCCGGCCGGUGCAGGGCCUCCGACCGACCGCGGCCGAGCGGGGCCUGGCCGCGGGCGCCGGGGAAGCCCGCCGCGGCGGGCACAGGAGGAAGCGGCGGCGGCGCGUCCCGAGCCGUGCGCGCCAUGUCGGGCGGGCCCCCCAAGGGCCUGCCGUCCACCGGGCCCCACUCCCUGCUCGACAUGCCGCACCCGCUGGCCGGCUCCAGCAGCGAGGAGGCCGUGGGCGGCGACAGCACGCCCAGCCCGGACCUGCUGAUGGCCCGCAGCUUCGGCGACAAGGAUCUCAUUUUGCCCAACGGUGGUACCCCAGCAGGUACUUCGAGUCCAGCUUCUUCAUCUUCCCUUCUCAACAGACUUCAGCUUGAUGAUGACAUUGAUGGUGAGACCAGAGAUCUCUUUGUCACAGUUGAUGACCCCAAGAAGCAUGUCUGUACCAUGGAGACCUACAUUACGUAUAGGAUCACCACCAAAAGUACACGGGUAGAGUUUGACCUGCCAGAAUAUUCUGUUCGUCGAAGAUACCAGGAUUUUGACUGGCUGAGGAACAAACUGGAGGAAUCCCAGCCGACUCAUCUCAUUCCCCCGCUUCCUGAGAAGUUUGUGGUGAAGGGUGUUGUAGAUCGUUUUUCAGAAGAGUUUGUGGAGACCAGAAGAAAAGCUUUGGAUAAAUUCCUAAAAAGAAUUACAGAUCAUCCUGUGCUCUCUUUCAAUGAACACUUUAAUGUUUUCCUUACUGCUAAGGACCUGAACGCCUACAAGAGGCAGGGGAUGGCAUUGCUGUCUAGAGUGGGCGAGUCCGUCAAGCACGUCACCGGAGGCUACAAGCUGAGGAGUCGACCUCUGGAGUUUGCAGCCAUAGGCGACUACUUAGAUACCUUUGCACUCAAACUGGGAACCAUUGAUCGAAUAGCCCAGCGGAUCAUCAAAGAAGAAAUAGAGUACCUUGUAGAGCUGAGAGAAUAUGGGCCUGUGUACUCCACGUGGAGUGCGUUAGAAGGGGAGCUAGCUGAGCCCCUGGAGGGUGUCUCAGCUUGCAUUGGCAACUGCUCGACGGCCUUGGAAGAGCUAACGGAUGACAUGACAGAAGACUUUUUACCUGUGCUCAGGGAAUAUAUUUUAUACUCUGACUCUAUGAAGAGCGUACUGAAGAAGAGGGACCAAGUGCAAGCAGAGUACGAAGCCAAACUAGAAGCUGUGGCCCUGAGGAAGGAAGACCGCCCCAAGGUGCCGGCAGAUGUUGAGAAAUGUCAGGAUCGGAUGGAGUGUUUCAACGCUGAUCUGAAAGCCGACAUGGAGCGGUGGCAGAGCAACAAGAGGCAGGACUUCCGGCAGCUGCUCAUGGGAAUGGCCGACAAGAACAUCCAAUACUACGAGAAGAGUCACCAAGGAAGGAUGCAUGGAGUAAUUUUACCACUCCGCUCCCCAACUUGACCAAAGGAUGCCUCUCUCCUCCUACCUGCUCAGAACUCCUUCCCAAAUGACUCAGCACAAAGACCUGCUUCACCCCGAGCUCCUUCUACACAAGUGCCUCAUGGCAUGGGAGUCGAUUAUUCCACUACUACAGGAGAAACCAGAGGCCAAGUAAGUUCCUUCUUGGGACCGAGACUCUUCUACCUACACAGGGCAUGGCACCCCACACCAGGACGUCCCUGUAGUGCCAGAGAGGUGGCACUGAGAAAACAGCCACAGAAUCAUCUCUCCUUUGUGUAUUUCUCUCCCUUCCUGCCCCCCACCCACCUUUGUCUGACAGUGGUUCUCCAUUAGUAUUUAUUCCUUGGUGGAGUCUGUAAGGCUAUAAUCAUCUCUCAGCGAAAGAAGCAUACCUCCGUGUUGUGAAGGAGCCCAUUAAAUCUGGAACACUAAGAUCUGCAGCUGAGGGACGAGACAACCCAGCUGACGUUCUGACAUCUCAUUACAGUCUCCUGUUUGGGGACAGCACGGUUGCCUGCGGUGGAAGAGAGCCCGGUUCUUGCUUUUCCAGGACACGAAGAAGGCGGGCACAGAGGGCAGUCUCGUUUUCCACAGACACACGGGGACUCUGGAAUUGACCUGUGUGGGCAUCGACUUGUCUCAGCCUAGAAGGGGGUGUUGGCACCUCCACGGAAAGUCCUUAAUGUACAGUGGCCUAUAGCUGUGAGUGUGGCCUGCUGCCUGCUUGUGACGAGUGGCACCUCUUUUGUGGCUUCUGGUUCACAUAGAACCAUUUAUAUCAGCGUCUGUAUGCGUCCGUGCCCAAAUGAGCAAGCCAGUGUCCUUGUCCUCGUGCGAUACCUCGGGGAGCCGAGGGGGCAGUGCUCCCCAAACUUGUUUCUGACACUAGAAUGCAGUAGAUUGGAAACUGUUUUUUGUGUAAAAUGGGGGGGGGGGGGCAUUUUUCUCUGUGAAGUUCUUCAGUGUUUUUCUUUUGCUUGUUCAGUGUCGUCAGAGUAGAGCUGAGGCCCGUGGUGGGAAGUCCGUGUUGUCUGAGGUCAGAGUAGCUCCCAGUAACUGGGGUCAGUGGGCGUACACUAGGCCCCAUCUCCACGUCUGCUCUGUGCCGUCUGCCUUUACCUCACCCAGAACUCCUAAUUUAGUGUCUCCUACCACGUCCACGGAGUGUUUGGGCGGCCUUUUGUUGAGAGGCUGGUGUGCUGUAGUGACACAGUGGAGGUUCUGGGAACUCCAUGUGCAUGUUCCAUAUGAAGUGCUUUAACCUUCGAUAGUCCCUGGUCGGAAAGAAAAGUCGGUACCUGGACGGGCCUCGAAGAUGACAAGUACUAACAGCGAGCCCUUUGCUUCUCGAUAAGCUAAAACCUCUUCAACUUGCAGCCACGUUCCCCAGUGACCACUGGCUGCAUCUCAAGUCUUCAAACCGACACGAAACCGACGAAGAGGAUCUAUCUUCCAACUCCUUUUCUUUCCUCCUGAAGUGAAGCUACCUAUGCCACGUUUGCGCUCUCCCGUCUGUGGCUCAUCUCCCCGUAAAAUGAUCAACCUGAGCCUCAAAGAGGCAGUUAGUGUUCUUGUCGCGACGCAGCCGGGCCGAGGCGCUGGCGCACACGCGGGUCGUAACCCGCAGGUACCCGGCCGCGUGCAGUGUGUCGAGGUUCCUCCACCCCCUCGCGCCCGCGGCGUUGACCUCGGGUGGCCACUGCCGUGAUGCCAGGGGUGCAGCAGUAGGCCAGCGCAGAACAGUUCGGCUCUGUUUCAUUCAUGUUUUGAGGAAGUCACGGUUUCAGUUAGAACUUUUGUAUCCGUCGGUACUUGCCUGCACCGUCAGACCCCCUCACGCCGUUCUCAAAUCCUGCGAUGUGAAUUUUUGUUUGGUACAAUUAGAAGUGAUUCAUCGAAGCAGAAGGGUAAGGACAGGCCAUCUAGCCCGAGUGGUGAGUCCGUGUUUCAUGCUACCUCUAAGCCAUCACGUUGGUGCGGGUAUGGAUGAUGGACGUCUGGGUCCAAGCUGACAGCUUGCUGGUAGAACAGGGUGUAUAUCCAAUAACGGGUUGACGGCCCUCUCUUGAUAUUUCGUGGAAGGCACUAGACUGACCCAGCAGCGAGCGCUCAUCUCCAGGAACGUGCGAAGCCUUGCCUUGUGGAAUGCGUGCUUUAAAAACGUUGUCCGGUGUCAUGAGUGCUUGGAAAGAAUCGUGGAAAGAGUUGAUGGGAAGACCGGGAUCUCAUCUGCCGCUAGUUGCCAAAGCCCAGGAGCAUUCCCGUGGAAAGUUUAGUUGGAAAAGAAGGCAACCCUUCAAAACAGUCAUGGGGCUCCUCUCUGGGACAUACGGGAAGGGAGUGGAGGGGGGACGCAGUCGUUCCUUACGUUAUUGGAGGCAGAAGACUAGCUCGGAGGGGACUCGGGCAUCUUGCGGCUUGUCUUUCUCCAUUUGUUUGCCAUGUGAUGUUUCUGUGCUUUAAGACACCAGGGAGAGCUGGGACACUGACGCCAGAGCUGGGAGAACCAGAAUAUGUUCCAGGCUCCCCUGGAGAAAUGGUCUUGCCCGAGAAGGGACGCUUGCCCCUUCCUUCAGGCUGGCGGCAGAUGAGGUGAGGAGGCCCAGGAAGAAGGGAUGGUAGGCAGUGAAGGAGGCUCCCCAGGCCUCCCCGACCCCCAUGGCUCGUCCAGCCUCUGCGGGUCAGGAGUCCCAGGCAUUUGCCCUUUCAUCUCUGUGAGCAUGAAGGGGAUUCCCUGUGAGAAGUGUGACCGGAGACUUCUGUGCCAAAGACUGCCUCGUAGAGGCUUCGUCACCCCGUCCUUCUUGGCUCCACAAAGUCGUGGUGCUGAGAUCACUGCCUCCUCUCUCAUAGUUGUGUCCCAAGAGGCUUUUGCUUGGGGACAUGCUUGACCUCAGGCAGACAGACUUGGACAGGUUUUGAGUCUUGGGCACAUGGCAGCAGAAUGCAGAGUGACGCCUGUCAACUGCCUCUCGGGUGCGGGAAGUGAAGGGUUCAUUCACCCAGGUUAAAAAUCCAGGCUAAGGCAGAAGAGGAGAGAAUUCCUAGAAACUGAGCAGAUUUUAGAGAUGCACUUGAUGCUGAAGGGAGCACUUGUGCUUUGUGGCAGAUACGGACACUGCGGUCUUCCUUGUCAUGUGGUGGAUCCACAAGGGGAUUCUAGGCUACUCUGCCCAAAGCCAAAAAACCUCUGUUCUUCCUGAAGGAGGAGGGAACACGUUUCACAGCCAGGUUUGGGGUUGGGUUUUGUCCUUUAAUAAGACUUACUAAUGAUUCCCAGUGACCUCAGAUAAGUGCAAUUAUGGAGAUGAUUGGCUCGUAUUUCACUGUGCUGCUCGUUGAACUCACCAGUCACCUUCCUUUAGGUGAAACAACAAAAGCCAGUAGGACUCCGGGGGUCGUGGUGAAUGUAACGUUAAGUUUGUCUUCAUGCCAAAUUUCAGCCACACCUGGAGCGUGUUCUACAUGUUGUCGAAUUAAAUGUCUUACCAGUCGCCAUCCACAUGAGGGAUUCUCAUUUCUCGUGAGGCCACCUUUGUUUUGAAGUGACAGGAAGUCCUGCUUUAGAGGAGGGCACGGUGACCUGACUGCCUGUCUGCAAGUGGAGUGUGUCUCUUGGGCCGGUAGGUGUCAGCCUGGGACACACCCAGGGUCCGAGUGACUUGGCCCUGCCGUCAAGAGCAUUGACAUUGCGGGCCCCUGGCUUUGUUUUCAUGCCAUUCAUUACACUGCAGAGUAGUCCUUCUCUACCCUCUGCCCUGAGACAGGCAGGAGAGAGACAUCGCCACAGCCUCCCGGGCCCAUGUGGGCGUCGUCUGUUUGGAUGUCGGGAUGGGGUGACCUGGCCUCUCCUCGGGCUGCGCUGAAGGGUGCUCCCGCUCACGAGAGGCUGCCUGUGUUCAGGGCAGGGCACAGCAAGCCUGCGGCCCACCUUCCCGGAUGCCUACUCUCAAAGGCCCGUGGAAACUGAGUAAUCUAAUUGUCAGGCUGGAGUAACACUGCAGUCCAUCCCCAUUUACAAAACAUUUUGGGAAUUUGGCUUUGCCUUCUCACUUUCAAGAUGGCAACAGAUUGGACAUGGCCUCUUAUGUUUUCUCCAUUCAGAUGGCAGGUGGCAUUUAUCAGUAAAUUCGAGUAAAAUGUCAUGAUGCCCUGGGUCAGACUGACCUAUCAAGCUGGGUGUGUUGGAGUUGUUCUCUGCUUCCUCAUGGGUUGUUUUUUUUUUUUUUUUUGUUUGUUUUUUUUUUAUUUAGUGCAUAAACCAGGAACCUGAUUUUUCAUCAGCCCACCCAAUAGGUGGUUAGCUUUCUGCUUUAAGCAUGUCUGGCCUCCCUACAGUCGCCUGGAUGAGAGUGUGCACAGAGCUAUCUGCGUUAGGAAAGGUGGAGGAAAGGCCUUUGUCACGGGGAGUUUGAUCGUUGUUUCUUAAUCGUAUGUUUGAAUUGCAUUCCGGGUCUGGCUGUCUAACCCUUUCUAUGUGGCAGAAAAAUAUGUUCUUCAGGCAGUUUUUACUACUAUAGAUAGCCUGUAAAUAAGUACUUUGGAAAAAAAUAACAAACCAGUAAGAUAUUUGUCUUAUAUAGAAACAUUCUGUGUGUUUAGCACUUGAAAAUCAACAAAUCCAGACUUUUAAAAUUACCACAGACUGUUGAAAGCCUAACUCUACUUUUUGAGAAUUGUCAACACCUACUAAUAUGCCUUAUUCUUCAACUAGUGUGUUUUAGAUUCUGGAUAGAAAGAAUUUUUUAGAAACAUAAUCAGUUGUUCAGCUUAAAUGCUAGAGGUCUAACAUAGCCAGUCCUCAGCCCUCUUAAAGAAAUAAGAAAGUGAGGUUCAUAAUUAGGGCUGCCUUUUGGGAAGAGAAAGCUAAGUAUUGCUAUUGCCAAAUGAUAUUUUUGAUAAUGUAAGGAAACACAGGGACCACUGAACCGUGUGUGUGUGUGUGUGUGUGUGUGUGUGUGUGUGUUAAAGUGUGAAAGAUUAACUUAGUGCCUUUUGGCACACUCUCGAUUGUAGAGGAUAUAUGGUAUCAGCAUUGACAAAUCACGUAGAUACAGAGAACUCUAGAUGAUGACAAUAUUAAUGGUGUACCCCGAUUCUGCGGAACAGUUUUUUAAAAGAUAACUGGGGGCGGGGUGGGGGGGAUCAGAGCAGCGUGUGUCAGAUAGAAAUUCUCCACAGGUUGAAAUGCCAAAAACCUAAAACCCAUUGAUUCUUUAGUCCAUUUUAAUAGAGCUUUUACUAUUAAAACCAGUGACGGAGUAUUGCAACACGCAUGUCCCUGGCAAUGCCACCCCCUCACCAGGUGAUUCUGGGCUUCCUGCAUGCCAGGUCAGAGCAGGUCACACCUGUCCCCACCCCUGAGUAACAGGUUGUUCACAGUCUCAGACCAACCCUUCAGUCUCGAUGGUACCGGAAGGAGAAAAGGGGGGUGGCUUUUUUCUGCAGUGUGGGAACGGGGAGGGGAAAGCAGAUUGCCAACAAGAUGAGAAUCUGUAUGACAAAAAGACACCUGUGUCAGCUGGGCCUUCGUCAGACAACAAACCAGCAGCUGUUAGCAGUCAGCACCACCACCUGGACACCCCUGAGGUCUGGUCCUGUCCCGUAGGCACCCCAACCAUUGUACUUCCGUGUGCCUGAUUCCUCGAUGUCCGCGCAUUGGGAAUGCAUUGAGAGAUGAUGUACAUCUGAUAUAUUUCCAUAAAAUAAACUGCCAGCAACCUUUCUAACUUGUAUUUUAACUGUUGAAAAAGAGAUUCAAAACUUUUGCUUAGGUCAUGUCCAAAGUGUGGACUGUAUUUCUUAUUUUUAGAGGUCAUUCUUCACAUUUAAAAUUUUAGAAGAACCCCUCCCCCCGCCCAAGGUAUUGAUGAAGUCCUCCCUCCGUGUAAAUGUGUUCUCUUCUCUCCAUGCUGCCAAUAAGCCAAAUCAGAAGCUGUGAAAAAAAAAAAAAAAUGUGCUCAAGAAUGUGUGUGGACGAGAAAGUGAUUUAUUCCCAGGUCAAAGUCUCUGUUUCAUGAAGCUACCAAACUUUAAAAAGAAUGUCACCUUUUUCUUUCUUUCUUUGUUAUGGAACCCAGAGAUUGUAAAAAGAAAAAAAAAGUUUUGUUGCAUUUUUUGAUGCUGGCACGAGGUUUUUGUCCACUUUUUUUCAUAUAUCUGUGUAUUAAAAAAACUGUCCAUUGUUUACUAUGAAAUUAGUAUUACAUUUUGAGGUAAACAAAAGAAUUUGUAUUGCUUGUUAACUAUUAGCUUGUAAAUUUAAAAGGUUUCUUUACCUCAAUUAACUUAAAGUAAUGGACCAAUAAACCUACGAAUGAUGCUUUCUUUACCUUGAA